GACGAACGCUGGCGGCGUGCUUAACACAUGCAAGUCGAACGGAAAGGCCCUGCUUUUGUGGGGUGCUCGAGUGGCGAACGGGUGAGUAACACGUGAGUAACCUGCCCUUGACUUUGGGAUAACUUCAGGAAACUGGGGCUAAUACCGGAUAGGAGCUCCUGCUGCAUGGUGGGGGUUGGAAAGUUUCGGCGGGUGGGGAUGGACUCGCGGCUUAUCAGCUUGCUGGUGGGGUAGUGGCUUACCAAGGCUUUGACGGGUAGCCGGCCUGAGAGGGUGACCGGCCACAUUGGGACUGAGAUACGGCCCAGACGCCUACGGGAGGCAGCAGUGGGGAAUAUUGCACAAUGGGCGGAAGCCUGAUGCAGCAACGCCGCGUGCGGGAUGACGGCCUUCGGGUUGUAAACCGCUUUCGCCUGUGACGAAGCGUGAGUGACGGUAAUGGGUAAAGAAGCACCGGCUAACUACGUG
rnacentral:rRNA from 1 species